UGGGGAAUAUUGCACAAUGGGCGCAAGCCUGAUGCAGCCAUGCCGCGUGUAUGAAGAAGGCCUUCGGGUUGUAAAGUACUUUCAGCGGAGAGGAAGGGAGUAAAGUUAAUACCUUUGCUCAUUGACGUUACCCGCAGAAGAAGCACCGGCUAACUCCGUGCCAGCAGCCGCGGUAAUACGGAGGGUGCAAGCGUUAAUCGGAAUUACUGGGCGUAAAGCGCACGCAGGCGGUUUGUUAAGUCAGAUGUGAAAUCCCCGGGCUCAACCUGGGAACUGCAUCUGAUACUGGCAAGCUUGAGUCUCGUAGAGGGGGGUAGAAUUCCAGGUGUAGCGGUGAAAUGCGUAGAGAUCUGGAGGAAUACCGGUGGCGAAGGCGGCCCCCUGGACGAAGACUGACGCUCAGGUGCGAAAGCGUGGGGAGCAAACAGG
rnacentral:rRNA from 1 species